AGCUGCCCUGCAGCAUAGAAUCAUAGAAUCAUUAAGGUUGGAUAAGACCUCCAAGAUCAUCUGGUCCAACCAUCACCCUACUACUAAUGUCACCCACUAAACCAUGUCCCU